rnacentral:rRNA from 1 species
UUUAUGGAGAGUUUGAUCCUGGCUCAGGAUGAACGCUGGCGGCGUGCCUAAUACAUGCAAGUCGAGCGAACGGACGAGAAGCUUGCUUCUCUGAUGUUAGCGGCGGACGGGUGAGUAACACGUGGAUAACCUACCUAUAAGACUGGGAUAACUUCGGGAAACCGGAGCUAAUACCGGAUAAUAUUUUGAACCGCAUGAUUCAAAAGUGAAAGACGGUCUUGCUGUCACUUAUAGAUGGAUCCGCGCUGCAUUAGCUAGUUGGUAAGGUAACGGCUUACCAAGGCAACGAUGCAUAGCCGACCUGAGAGGGUGAUCGGCCACACUGGAACUGAGACACGGUCCAGACUCCUACGGGAGGCAGCAGUAGGGAAUCUUCCGCAAUGGGCGAAAGCCUGACGGAGCAACGCCGCGUGAGUGAUGAAGGUCUUCGGAUCGUAAAACUCUGUUAUUAGGGAAGAACAUAUGUGUAAGUAACUGUGCACAUCUUGACGGUACCUAAUCAGAAAGCCACGGCUAACUACGUGCCAGCAGCCGCGGUAAUACGU